rnacentral:rRNA from 1 species
AGUGAACGCUGGCGGUAGGCCUAACACAUGCAAGUCGAACGGCAGCACAGUAAGAGCUUGCUCUUACGGGUGGCGAGUGGCGGACGGGUGAGGAAUACAUCGGAAUCUACUUUUUCGUGGGGGAUAACGUAGGGAAACUUACGCUAAUACCGCAUUCGACCUACGGGUGAAAGCAGGGGAUCUUCGGACCUUGCGCGAUUGAAUGAGCCGAUGUCGGAUUAGCUAGUUGGCGGGUUAAAGGCCCACCAAGGCGACGAUCCGUAGCUGGUCUGAGAGGAUGAUCGGCCGCACUGGAACUGAGACACGGUCCAGACUCCUACGGGAGGCAGCGGUGGGGAAUAUUGGACAAUGGGCGCAAGCCUGAUCCAGCCAUACCGCGUGGGUGAGGAAGGCCUUCGGGUUGUAAAGCCGUUUUGUUGGGAAAGAAAAGCAGCAGGUUAAUACCCCGCUGUUCUGACGGUACCCAAAGAAUAAGCACCGGCUAACUUCGUG